rnacentral:rRNA from 1 species
UACGUAGGGUGCAAGCGUUGUCCGGAAUUAUUGGGCGUAAAGAGCUCGUAGGCGGUCUGUCGCGUCUGCUGUGAAAACUCAGGGCUUAACCCUGAGCUUGCAGUGGGUACGGGCAGACUAGAGUGCGGUAGGGGAGACUGGAAUUCCUGGUGUAGCGGUGAAAUGCGCAGAUAUCAGGAGGAACACCGGUGGCGAAGGCGGGUCUCUGGGCAUGAUCUGACGCUGAGGAGCGAAAGCAUGGGGAGCGAACAGG